UUCAGCUCGUGUCGUGAGAUGUUGGGUUAAGUCCCGCAACGAGCGCAACCCUCGUCCUUAGUUGCCAGCAUUGAGUUGGGCACUCUAGGGAGACUGCCGGUGAUAAACCGGAGGAAGGUGGGGACGACGUCAAGUCAGUAUGCCCCUUAUGCCCUGGGCUACACACAUGCUACAAUGGCGCGGACAAAGGGCAGCGAACGCGCGAGCGGGAGCCAAUCCCAAAAACCGCGUCUCAGUUCGGAUCGCAGGCUGCAACUCGCCUGCGUGAAGUCGGAAUCGCUAGUAAUCGCAGAUCACAUG
rnacentral:rRNA from 1 species